rnacentral:lncRNA from 1 species
AGCAGGUCCGGAGCAGUUACUAACAAAAAUUAGUUUGGAACAGCAUGUAGCAGCAUUUCUCUCUUCUGGAGCAGUUUGGAGCGAUUGGAGCAGCACUUCCAUCACUGGUAUACCGCAGUAUAUAUA